CACGUCAGCGCGACCUGCUGACGUGGAAGGAAAUCGCGUCUUUGAGGGCUCGAUUUCCUUCCACGUCAGCAGGUCGCGUUGACGUGG
rfam:Gossypium raimondii chromosome 11, whole genome shotgun sequence.